UACAUCGUUGUAGAUCUCCUGCAC
rnacentral:siRNA from 1 species